rnacentral:lncRNA from 1 species
GUUCAAGACUAUGUCUCCCCAGCCGACCUGGCAGCCUUGGUCCCGGAAAGGUCUCGAGGGACUGUCGGGGGGCAGGGGCAAAUGCUUGCCUUUACAUGAGUAACCGUUACAGUCGGACCCCGGGAUCUGAUGUUGAGCUUCUCUGCCACUGCUGGGUUCAUCCCCGAUGUCAGCAACCUCUCCGGUCGGGGCCAUAGUUUAGAUUUACUCACCAAAGUACCAAAUGGGGUACCAGCUCCUACUGACUGAAUUUCUUUCUCUUGUUCACCACCCUCCCCAAAUAGCCUUAAAUCGCAGCUCCACAAUAAGCAAUUAAUUGCCACUCGAGGUGUGGGGAGAGGAAAAUUCAGGGGAGGAAAGAAGACGAUGCUACCAAAGGGGCUCUUGAAAAUUCAAAGCUGGCAUGGGUGAAAACGACCCGAAUUCUCUUUUUUUGAGCUUUUAAACAACCACCCUCCAAAAUCUCUUCCUUCACCCAUACACAUCCUUCCGGGUGGCUUCUUACUUGAGAUCUUUUAAAACUGUGAAACACAUCCUUCGCUUGGUAGCGGAGGGCUGGAAUCAAAGGAACAAGCAGCAGCAGUGGAGGGACAAGUCAAAAAUGUUAGUUAAUCUCUAGGCCAUCUCACACAGCUCGCUCUGGUGCUGGCCCCAACCGUUAGCUGAGCUCCAGAAGCAGAUGGAGUCCUUCCCCCACCCCCUCUUUCUUCUCCCGGUCUUUCUCUAUCACUCUUUCCUCUCUGCUACGGUCCCUUCCAGGUCCGCCGGCAGACGCAAAUCGCCAUUCCCCGGGGCUAAGGAGGAAAGCUGGGCUGUGAAAUGCGGGCCGGGGGCUCCAGUCCAGGUCUCAAUUUUUAAAGAGAAAUGAAAAGAAAUUGAAAAGUGGAGAAAAGAGGGGAGGAGACGAAGGAGAAAGGAAAGAGGAAUGGAUGGACGAGAAAAUAAUUAAGAAGGUGCUAAACCAGCCGGAGAGUCAGACCCUACGAGAGAAAAACGGCGAGAAGGAAGGAGGAAGGGAGAAAUGAAAAGAGGAAGGGAGGGCAAUUCUGAAAAACAGACUUCCUCCCUGUGUUCGCCACUACCCCCGAGGAGGCGCUGCUCUUGGCGCUACUUCUGUAUUGCUCCUCACCCCUUGACUGGGACCUACGCAAUAAAGACGCAGGAGAAGCCGCUACGUUGAACUCUGUUCACAACCAAGAAAUAUUUUAGUUCAGAAACGUGGAAUCAAAUGACUUGCUUUCCCGUUGGCGUUAACUUUAUGUGUUUGGGGGAAGAGAAUCUAUUUGGCUCCCUAAAAGAAGGGAGGGCGCUAGGUAGCCAACUCACUCCCUUCUGUCAUUUAAAAAUUAAGAAACCAACCACAAUUUCACUCUUUUGAAAAAGUACCAUACACUCAUUCACAAAUCAGUUUAAAGUAGCUCACCAAAUUCAAGAGGCACUUCUGAAUGAAGCUGCUUGGAAAAAUAAUUUUUAAACAGGAAACUUUUUGUGGUUCUUCUCGGUGUAUGAUGGACAAUUUCACAAGUUAGAAGGACCACUUUAUCAUCACUGCUGUCAAGAUGAGGGGUUUUUCCUGGAUGUGUUAUUUCCUUUCCUUUUGAAAUUUUGUCAGUAAUAAAAGAAAAGAAUUCAGGAGCAUCCCUUGACUUUUGACUAUUGAAAGCAAAAGUAGGUUUUGAGGUUAGAUUUUCAGGGACCUUUAAAAGGUGAAAGGUGUGUAGAGUAGUUCUAAAAAAAUGAAUUCUUCCAAAGGGUAGAUUGAGCCACUUCAAACAAAUUCUUAUUACUGUAAAAUGAUCCUUUUACACUGACAACAACAAAAAUCUUUAAUAAAUCAAUUAGUACUAUAAUCACAUCUCUGAUUUGGAAUAGGUGGCAAUGACAUCAUAUAAAAAUAACAGUGUAUUAGAAACUAAUGGCGAUUUCUAUAUAUAACUGAGUACUGAGUUCAUCAGGGAGUAUGAUAAUUAACAAUUCUAACAAUACAGAAAUAGUGUGCUAAGUGGGUGUAUGCCAGACCCUCAGUAGUCCCUUCUGCUGCUAGGGCUUUCAUUGACAGACAAAAGGGCACUUCUAUGCAAUUCUAAAACAUUUCCAUGUUUUUGAUUAAACUCAACCCUAACCAAAAAAAUGUUGGUGAUAAUUAAUAAACCACUUUUGCUAAUUAAAUUCAUAUGUCGGGUGAAAGUAUUUUUAGUCUCCAGGAUCUGGAUAAUUGCUUUAAUAUAGUGUGUUUAUUCUGAUAAAGAGGUAUAGUUUUAUUUUUAAAAAGUGAUUAGGUCUUCAAGAUUCAAAUCUAUUGAAUGAAUGGUUCUGUUAUACACUUUUUACUCCUUUUUGCUAUUAGAACUUUUAAUAGUCUGACACAUUUGUAAGAAUAAGUAACAUUGCAACUAAUUUCAGCCAGAAACAAAGAACUCAUAUGUCAUGUGGAGAACAACCAGGGCAGCUAGUCAGUGAAGGGAGAUACCAUCUGUUUAAUAAUUAAGGUAACAGGACCAAAAAUGUCUUUGCCAAAGACAAAUGAACCCCUUAUCAUGCACAUAUAUAAAGGUAUGUAUUGUAUAUGCUUGAUUCAGAUGCUAGCUACCUGGGAUUUAGUAAGGGAAAAAAUCAAAUAAUGAGAAUUUAGGGACCAAAAAAUGAGGACAUUUAAAUUUUAAGAAUGUUCCUAGUUUUGGGCAAGUUUUGGAGUUAGUGACAAAAGCAUGAAAAAAUAUUUAUGGACCAUGAAAUAUAAACUUCAUGAAUUGUACUUUAAAGUAUGACAUAUUAACUUUAAAGGAAAUGAAUUAGUAGUGACAUAACUAAAUUUUUCAGAAACAGAGGAUAAACUUCCUAAUUUGAAACAGGAAACGUGUAACACCUCAGGCAUCUCCUCAUGGAAAUAUGCUCUGAGAAAUAUUACCCAGGCACUCUAUAACUCCAUUUCUCAUGUCCAAAACACUCAUCUUUCCCCUAAUCCUCUUUACUUCUGAACUUCAUUAUUAUUACCAUCCUCUCAGGAAAAUAGCCUUGCAAUCUUGAUGUCAUCUUUGACUCCUCACCAGCAUUUACCCCAUAUGACUAAUUUGUUGCCAAAUCCAUCUUUUCCUGGAUUGUGUUUUCUACCUUUUACAAUGUCUCCUACAUUCUUUUCAUAAAGCCACUACCCCACUUCAAGAUCUCAUCAUCUCUCCCCUCUACUACUCUUACAACUUUCUAAUUGGUCUACCUGCCUCAAGUCUCUCCCCAAUAAGUAUAGUGCUGAUCAUGUCAAGGCCUUAUUCAAUAAACCUUAUUAGUUCCUUAUUCCUCCAAAAUGAAAUAUAAAUACUUUAGCAUUUAGAGCUUUUCAGAUCCUAAUCCCUUAUUUCUAAUCUUAAAUUUAACUUUUUUAAACAUAUUUUUUCAAUUUAUUCCGGCUUCUUUACUGUUCAUUACACAUAUUACUGCCUUCAUUUCUGUCUUAACACAUCCUGUGGACAAUAACUGGGAUAUUAGGCCCUCUUUCCAUCUGCCUUUUAAAAUAAACUACCUUUAACACUCAGCUCAAAUACAAAUUUUGUAUAUCUUGUCCCACCAGCUGCUAUAACUUUUCCUUCUAAAGCUACCUUCUAUGUAUUAUCAAUGUACUUUGUAUGUACCUAUUUUUGUCUGUUAUUUCUCCCUAUUUUUUCUUUCAAAUAUAAAUUCCU